UACAGAGGUCUCAAGCGUUGUUCGGAUUCAUUGGGCGUAAAGGGUGCGUAGGCGGCGCGGUAAGUCGGGUGUGAAAUCUCGGGGCUUAACUCCGAAACUGCAUUCGAUACUGCCGUGCUUGAGGACUGGAGAGGAGACUGGAAUUUACGGUGUAGCGGUGAAAUGCGUAGAUAUCGUAAGGAAGACCAGUGGCGAAGGCACUUUACUGGGCUAUUACUAACACUCAGAGACGAAAGCUAGGGUAGCAAAUGGG
rnacentral:rRNA from 1 species